AACGAACGCUGGCGGCAUGCCUAACACAUGCAAGUCGAACGAGACCUUCGGGUCUAGUGGCGCACGGGUGCGUAACACGUGGGAAUUUGCCUCGGGGUAUGGAAUAACUCAGGGAAACUUGAGCUAAUACCAUAUAAUGUCUUCGGACCAAAGAUUUAUCGCCCUGAGAUAAGCCCGCGUAGGAUUAGCUAGUUGGUGGGGUAAAGGCUCACCAAGGCGACGAUCCUUAGCUGGUCUGAGAGGAUGAUCAGCCACACUGGGACUGAGACACGGCCCAGACUCCUACGGGAGGCAGCAGUGGGGAAUAUUGGACAAUGGGCGAAAGCCUGAUCCAGCAAUGCCGCGUGAGUGAUGAAGGCCUCGGUGUAAGCUCUUUACUUCGGUACGAUAAUAGACGGUACCGAGAGAAUAAGACCCGGCGUAACUCCGUGCCAGCAGCCGCGGUAAGUGUGACGUACUG
rnacentral:rRNA from 1 species